GACGAAGGGGGCUAGCGUUGUUCGGAAUUACUGGGCGUAAAGCGUGUGUAGGUGGUUGUCCAAGUUGGAUGUGAAAGCCUUGAGCUCAACUCAAGAAAUGCAUUCAGGACUGGGCGACUAGAGGACCGGAGAGGAUAGUGGAAUUCCCAGUGUAGUGGUGAAAUACGUAGAGAUUGGGAAGAACACCAGUGGCGAAGGCGGCUAUCUGGACGGUUUCUGACACUAAGACACGAAAGCGUGGGGAGCAAACAGGG
rnacentral:rRNA from 1 species